GCACGCACUGCCUUGGUGACCAAGGAAGGCACCCCACGGCUAUGGGGAAAUUAGCCUGAGACUUAGCUUUCAUUAUCACUGUCUCCCAGGGUGUGCUUGUCGAAGAGAUAUUCUGCCGAGCCAGAUUCGGGCGCUCCCAUCUUGCGCAAGUUGGUCACGUGGUCACUCAAUUCUUUGAUGGCUUUCACCUGCUCAUUCAGGGCACUAAUAUACACAUGAUGAUACUUAAUUCUCUCAGAAAACCUUUGGCAAAGACACUUUCUACAUCUUGAAGGCAAGGAAUCUGAAUCUUGAAGAGAUUAAAUGAAUUGUCCAAAGUCACGUGGGGGUUUGGGAGAAGGAAAAUCAUGAACACACAUUCUUCUACUCUGGAGAAGUGGGGAAGGUGACCUGGGAAACCAUCUGAAAGGGAGCAGGAUGGAUUCUAUAAAAUAUAGAGUGUUCAAUGAAAACAACCUGAUGCUCCUCCCAGUACCAUCACAUUUUUCUAGCUGCAUAUCCUUAGGCAUGAGGCUGAAGCCAGGAAAUGACCCAACAUUGAGGGUAAUCUGGGCACUGAAGGCACUACAAUUCCCAGGAUUUUUCAAGAAAAUGUCGAAUGUGCUGCCACAUAUGUCGGAUGCACAUGGAUCCCCUCCCACAAGGAAAAUCACGAUUGAAGAUCACCUCCUUGAAGAUGUCGUAUUGGGAGCGGUGUUUUUCCCUGUUGCUGACAGGUUAGACUUGCACAGGCGUCAGUACUGAGGUGUGAGACGGAGCCCAUGUAUGGCUUCUAUCUCUGCACUGUGGCUGCUCCGUUCAUGUGUCAGUCACAUCAGCUCAGAGACUGCCUAAUGUCAACUGGCCUAGUCAUUUUGUC
rnacentral:lncRNA from 10 species